rnacentral:rRNA from 1 species
CAGAGGGUGCGAGCGUUAAUCGGAAUUACUGGGCGUAAAGGGUGCGUAGGUGGUUUGUUAAGUUAGAUGUGAAAGUCCUGGGCUUAACCUGGGGACUGCAUUUAAUACUGGCGAGCUAGAGUACUGUAGAGGGAAGUGGAAUUUCCGGUGUAGCGGUGAAAUGCAUAGAUAUCGGAAGGAACAUCAGUGGCGAAGGCGACUUUCUGGACAGAUACUGACACUGAGGCACGAAAGCGUGGGGAGCAAACAGGAUUAGAUACCCUGGUAGUCCAUGCUGUAAACGAUGAAGACUGGCUGUUGGUUGCCUAAGGGCAAUUAGUAGCGAAGCAAACGCGUUAAGUCUUCCGCCUGGGGAGUACGGCCGCAAGGUUA